rnacentral:rRNA from 1 species
AGUGAACGCUGGCGGUAGGCCUAACACAUGCAAGUCGAACGGCAGCACAGUAAGAGCUUGCUCUUAUGGGUGGCGAGUGGCGGGCGGGUGAGGAAUACAUCGGAAUCUACUUUUUCGUGGGGGAUAACGUAGGGAAACUUACGCUAAUACCGCAUACGACCUACGGGUGAAAGCAGGGGAUCUUCGGACCUUGCGCGAUUGAAUGAGCCGAUGUCGGAUUAGCUAGUUGGCGGGGUAAAGGCCCACCAAGGCGACGAUCCGUAGCUGGUCUGAGAGGAUGAUCAGCCACACUGGAACUGAGACACGGUCCAGACUCCUACGGGAGGCAGCAGUGGGGAAUAUUGGACAAUGGGCGCAAGCCUGAUCCAGCCAUACCGCGUGGGUGAAGAAGGCCUUCGGGUUGUAAAGCCCUUUUGUUGGGAAAGAAAAGCAGCAGGUUAAUACCCCGCUGUUCUGACGGUACCCAAAGAAUAAGCACCGGCUAACUUCGUG